rnacentral:rRNA from 1 species
GAAUUUUAGUCCAACCUAAAGCAAUUUAACAAUUCAUGUCAACAUCCCCCUUUAGAGCAAUUCAAAUGAGGUACAGCCCAUUUGAUACAGGAUACAACCUUCACUAACGGGUAACAUCCAAACUACACCUUGAAGUGGGCCUAAAAGCAGCCACCUUUCAAAAAGCGUCAAAGCUUAACCUUACCAAAAAAUUUAAAAAUUUAUAUCGACCCCUUUACCUAUACUGAGAAUUUCUAUAACCCUAUAGAACCUUUAAUGCUAAAACUAGUAACAAGAGGAACCCCCUCUCUACAAUGCAAGCCUAAACCAGCAAGAAUCCCUCACUGGCAAUUAACACACACAGUAGUAAACCCACCAGAAAACCCUACUUACCCACACCCCGAUGUCAACCUAACACCAGAGCAUUCCAAGAAAGAUUAAAAGAAAAAGAAGGAACUCAGCAAACACUAGUCCCGCCUGUUUACCAAAAACAUCGCCUCUUGAAACUAUAAGAGGUCUAGCCUGCCCAGUGAUCUUAUUCAACGGCCGCGGUAUUCUAACCGUGCAAAGGUAGCGUAAUCACUUGUUUUCUAAAUAAAGACCAGUAUGAAAGGCAUCACGAAGACCUGACUGUCUCCUUUCUCCAAUCAGUGAACCUAAUCUCCCCGUGAAAAAGCGGAGAUCCACCCAUAAGACGAGAAGACCCCGUGGAGCUUAAAACAUCAUAACAAUUGCCUCUACCUCAAACCACCCAGGUGCUCCACCCAAACAGCAUCCUGAUUAUAUGUUUUUGGUUGGGGUGACCGCGGAGAAAAAUCCAUCCUCCGUAAUGAAAGGGACUCUUCCCUAAACAACAAGCUACAACUUUAUGUAUCAAAAUUGACACUCAUUGACCCAAUAAAUUGAUUAACGAACCAAGUUACCCCGGGGAUAACAGCACAAUCCACUUCAAGAGCCCCUAUCGACAAGUGGGCUUAUGACCUCGAUGUUGGAUCGGGUUAUCCCAGUGGUGCAGCAACUACUAAAGGUUCGUUUGUUCAACGAUUAAAAUCCCACGUGAUCUGAGUUCAGACCGGAGCAAUCCAGGUCAGUUUCUAUCUAUGAAGAGCUAAUUUCAGUACGAAAGGACCAAAUUAGCAUGGUCUAUGCCACCGCAAACCAUAGUUAAUAAUUUUAGACUCCACCUCAAAAAACAAU